AGCGAAGGUCUUUGACUAGCACUACAGGAUUUGCUGUACUCUUAAGCUGACUGAGGAGGGUCACAGGUUCUAGAAUGUUCCCCCAGGAAGAUGAGGGGCCAUAGAUGGACAAUGUGACUUCCCACCCCGGGGCAGCAGAGAUACCCUCAAGAGAUCCCAGGAUUAAACUGCAAUGUCCACCUCACAGCUUGGUCCUGAGGAUUGGUCAGUCCCGGCUAGGGACACAGCUCUUAGACUUUGAGCUAGACAACCAGGAGGACAGGAGGACCUAGUAUCCUGCCUCCAUCAGCCCAUCAUUUAUGCAAAUGCUACUUAGUUGCCGUCUAGAUGCAGGAUGCUGUCUGCCCUGUUAAAUGCUGUGUGAACCCAGAUGGAAGCUGAGCAGACAUCACACUCGUGAGCAGCUCCCCUUCCUGUGCUGAGAUUAAAGGCAUGUGCCAUCACCACCUGAACAACAGCAGCUUUCUAAGGAACCAGUAAGGCACUACAGACUUUUCAUAUAACAUCACCUUCAUUCUCUCACAACUAAUUCUACAAAACAGAUGUUAUACGACCUCGUUCGCUGAAGUCAAAGAUGCAGAGGGGCCAAGGUGUGGGCUCCGGACCUCACACCAGUGUGGCAGAUUCAACAAGCCCAGAAUAAGCCUCUUCCUUUGCUCACAAUAAGGUUUAUUAUAGAAGCAACAACUUCUGCAUACCAGAGGUGAGAGAUGCAGCAAUCCUCUCCGUGCUCAUGAAGCUUAAAAUUUGGGGGAGAAAGUAGAGAAAAGUUAAGCCAACUGCCUCUUCAUUCCUCAGUCACACUCCUCCUCUGACCCUGCUCCAGGAGGCUCAUCUUGUCAGACUUCACACUGAAUGAGCGCUGAGGAUGCUGUAGAGUAUGAGCUGUGUGCAGGUGAUAGCAGUGGAAAGAAGACUAAGACAGACUCCAUCUAGAAACCAGAAUGACCUCUUUUAUGGAAAAAGAGACUGUAUCACUCGUGUUUCUACCCACAAAAACCUCCACUGAUUGCUAUCUUCUGGUCCUGUACUCCUCAAGCUCAAAGGCCAACGUCCUGGCAUUUGUGUGACGGCUUUUGCCCUACCCUGCAGAAUUUGCAAUAGGCAGUCUCUACAUGUACUCAGGGCCCAGUGGGCAUUUCAAAAGCAAUUUGUGCCCCUGAAACAAGCCAACCAGCAGAGAAGGAACAAAAGAAACAUGGUGUCUUCUACCUCCAGCCUUGAAGCUUCCAGACCUCCCUACACGAACCCCCCCCCCACACCCACUCCCCGAAAUGAUGUCCCAGUGAAGAGCCAGGCUCUUAUCCUUCCAUCCAUGCCUCUCAGGCGUCUGCUUCAUUUAGCAUGUAUGUGCAUUUUACCAGGUUAAUGCAACACAGACUAUUUCCUAGUAGCUGUGAAGCCCAGUGUAGCCUCUGCUGCCGGACACAUGGUUUGUCUCCAGUCUUUCCCUUCCCAGCAAAGCAGCCUUGACUCAUCUCCUUUCUCUAUGACAGAGCCCUUUAGAAUGUACUCACUGGGCCAACGAUGCAGUUUCAAUUUGGGUUUUUAAUGGAAGUGGGUGGCUAGGUAAGUGGGUUGAAUGACUGACUGAUUCUGAAUAGCUCUGAAUUUAUUGAGCUGCUUCCAGGAAGGUCCAGGUGACCUGGGUAGCAGAAAGGACACCCAUUC
rnacentral:lncRNA from 1 species